CCCCCUGCUCGUCUGUACGAAUCUGGGUGGAGCUGCCCUGGUCCCGCCUCCUAGCAUCAUCUCCUAGCAUCAAGCUAACAGAGCCUCGUGCAGCUCGUCUCAUUCAGUUAGCUGCGUCCAGGUGUUUGAGCGCCCCCCCCACCAGGUGGAGGCUGCCAGCGAUGAGGAUGUGGAUCUCAGAGGCAUCACAGAGCGGAGCAGCUUUAGCGUUGAUGCUAGGUUUCAACGGCAGGACUCUGUUAGCCGGGUCAGUCAGAACCGGAUCCCGACCCUGAGUGAUCCACUGCAGGGCGCUGAGGAUGCAGGGGAACACCAGCGUGUCCGUCGUCGUCUUCUUCGGGAGACUGUCCUCAAUCAGCAGCUGGGAGCCUUUGUUAGAAGCCUGGCUGUUGUGGAGACACCAGCUCCUCUCGUUGUCCAGGCAGCGGGUCAGCAUGUUCUCCACCGACACGUUGAAGUUCUGCUGGUCUGAGAGGCGACACCAUGAACAAGGUUCAAUGAUCUCACCUGCAUUGCAUGAAGCCAUGGCCUCGGUGAUGUUCGGGCAGAAGACAGCAAAGUCAAACUGACACGGCUGAAAAGAGAGAGGACAUGAGAGGUGUGCUUGCACAGGUGAAGGGGGCGGGGCUAAGGCUUUAAGUUGGAGGUGCGGUGUGUGACGGGAGGGCAGCAGCAAUACCGUCAUCGACACGCAGACGCAACCUUAUGCUUCGUAAAAUACAGAUUACUAGGAUCUGCUGUUUAAGUUUACGUUACAUAUUGUUUUCGUAUUUUGUUUAAUGUUUGCUGGAAAUAAACCUUGAAAAGCAACCGAAA